rnacentral:rRNA from 1 species
GGGAAUCUUCCACAAUGGACGCAAGUCUGAUGGAGCAACGCCGCGUGAGUGAAGAAGGUUUUCGGACCGUAAAGCUCUGUUGUUGGUGAAGAAGGAUAGAGGUAGUAACUGGCCUUUAUUUGACGGUAAUCAACCAGAAAGUCACGGCUAACUACGUGCCAGCAGCCGCGGUAAUACGUAGGUGGCAAGCGUUGUCCGGAUUUAUUGGGCGUAAAGCGAGCGCAGGCGGAAGAAUAAGUCUGAUGUGAAAGCCCUCGGCUUAACCGAGGAAUUGCAUCGGAAACUGUUUUCUUGAGUGCAGAAGAGGAGAGUAGAACUCCAUGUGUAGCGGUGGAAUGCGUAGAUAUAUGGAAGAAUACCAGUGGCGAAGGCGGCUCUCUGGUCUGCAACUGACGCUGAGGCUCGAAAGCAUGGGUAGCGAACAGGAUUAGAUACCCUUGGUAGUCCAUGCCGUAAACGAUGAGUGCUAAGUGUUGGGAGGCUUCCGCCUCUCAGUGCUGCAGCUAACGCAUUAAGCACUCCGCCUGGGGGAGUACGACCGCAAGG